rnacentral:misc_RNA from 1 species
UCCGUGUUAACCACGGCAGUCUCCUUAGAGUGCCCAACUGAAUGCUGGCAACUAAGGACAAGGGUUGCGCUCGUUGCGGGACUUAACCCAACAUGUCACCACACGAGCUGACGACAGCCAUGCAGCACCUGUCUCUCUGUAGUAUUGCUACUAAAGCUGUAUCUCUACAGUUGUCAGAGGAUGUCAAAUCCAGGUAAGGUUCUUCGCGUUGCUUCGAAUUAAACCACAUGAUCCACCGCUUGUGCGGGCCCCCGUCAAUUCCUUUGAGUUUUAGUCUUGCGACCGUACUUCCCAGGCGGGGUACUUAUUGCGUUAGCGCCGGUUCGGCGGGGGUCAAGACCCACCAAACCUAGUACCCAUCGUUUACAGUGUGGACUAC